rnacentral:tRNA from 1 species
GGUGCUCAGUGGUAGAGCGCUUGCCUAGCACAUGUGAGGCCCUGGGUUCAAACCUCAGUACCA